GACAGAGGGUGCAAACGUUGUUCGGAAUUACUGGGCGUAAAGCGCGUGUAGGCGGCAGCGCAAGUCGGAUGUGAAAUCCCAUGGCUCAACCCCGGAGGUGCAUCCGAAACUCUGGGGCUGGAGGUCGGAAGAGGAGGGUGGAAUACCCAGUGUAGAGGUGAAAUUCGUAGAUAUUGGGUGGAACACCGGUGGCGAAAGCGGCUCUCUGGUCCGGACCUGACGCUGAGGCGCGAAAGCGUGGGGAGCAAACAGG
rnacentral:rRNA from 1 species